rnacentral:ncRNA from 1 species
UUAUUUUCAUCCUAGAUAAAGCUAAUUUUUUUUUUCUUAUGCAUGAAAAAAAAAUUAAUUAUUUUAACUCAGUAUACAAAUUUUUUAAAAUUAAAAAUUUUAAAAAGAAAAAUUACCAGUUAAUUAUGUGCCAGCAACUGCGGUUAUACAUAAGGUAUUUUAGCUUAUUGGAAUAAAAAGUUAAAAAAGGUGAAGAAAUAAAAACAUUUUUUUUUAGGUUAAAUUAUAAAUAAAUUAAAUAAUAUCUUAAUUAUUUUAAAACUUUUAAACUCUUUUAAAAAAUAUGGAUUUGAUACCCAAGUAUUAAGAAUAAAAAUAUCUCCAGAGUAGUAUAAACUUUAUUAAAAACUCAAAGGAUAUGGCAGUAUAAACUAACUUUAGGGUUAUUUGAUUUUUUAAAAUAUGAAAAUACCCAAAAACCUUACUUAAAAUUUUAUAAGUUUUUUAUAUCUCCGUUUUAUAGUAAAAACAAAAGAUUUUACUAAAAUUUUUUAAAAAAAAAAAUUCAGGUCAAGGCAAAACUUUUAAAGAAAAAUUGAAUAUCAUUGUAAAUAAAGGAAUCAAAAACCUUAAAAAAAGGUUAAAAAAGUGAACUUAAUAGUAUUUUCUUGAUAGAAUAAAGACAAGAAAAAAUUAGGUUAUAUGUACAAAUUGCCCGUCACUCUCAACAAAAUUGAGAUAAGUCGUAACAAAGUAAGUGUAUUGGAAAAUGUACUUAGAUUUUGG